AUGCAAGUCGAACGGACGAGGGGAGCUUGCUCCCUGAGUUAGUGGCGGACGGGUGAGUAUACGUGAGCAACCUGCCUUUCAGAGGGGGACAACAGCUGGAAACGGCUGCUAAUACCGCAUGAUAUAUAUCUAGGGCAUCCUUAAUAUAUCAAAGAUUUAUCGCUGAAAGAUGGGCUCACGUCUGAUUAGCUAGUUGGUGAGGUAAUGGCUCACCAAGGCUGCGAUCAGUAGCCGGACUGAGAGGUCGAACGGCCACAUUGGGACUGAGAUACGGCCCAGACUCCUACGGGAGGCAGCAGUGGGGAAUAUUGGGCAAUGGGGGGAAACCCUGGCCCAGCAACGCCCCGUGAAAGAAGAAAGCUUUCGGGUUGUAAACUUCUUUUACCAAGGGAAGAAUAAAAUGACGGUACCUGGAGAAUAAGCCACGGCUAACUACGUGCCA
rnacentral:rRNA from 2 species